rnacentral:lncRNA from 1 species
GCACCGGCCAGCUAGCCCCUUUGUGCGGCGGGGGCUGCGGAGUGCUCCCUCCAAGACCGGUUGCACCCCGCUUUCCUGGCCAGGACUCUGGGCGCGGUUGGAGGCAUCUGUCCACCCAUGUGGUUCCAGACACGUUCAUGUGGCCACCAUGACCCCGUCGGCAUCACAGGGGUAACCAAGAGAGCAGCAAGUUCCUGGGACAGAGGAGACAGAAGGGAAUUUCCAGGUUCUUCAGGACGUUCACAACCACACUGAGAAGCAUCUUUGCAGAUAAGUAUUUAAACUUACCAGCCCAUAGCCUACCAGCCUGCCCUCUUCUGGUCUGUGCAGGAAAGUGUAGUAUCCUAGAAUGCCAAAGUGGGAGGGGAAAUGGGUGAUGUAGCUCAUUCUCUUUUCUACCUCUAUGGAAGAAAGAAAGAGCCUGUCCCCAUUUUGUGGGGUCCCAGAAAGGGUGAUUUUCACACUUCACAUUUGGCGUUAGGGCUAGUAUUUCACAAACAUUACCGUCUGGAACUUUUGAAGGCUGAGUUAAAUGACUUCAUCUUGUGUACUUGUAGAACUGCUAUUAGAAGGAGGCUGGGGACUCCCUGAUGAUGUGAACCAGCCCUUCUCUUCUCAGUUUCAGCACUUUGUGAUCAUAUUUAUAAACCUUGGACAGGGCUCCUUGGCCUUAGAGUUAAGUGAAGAGUUAACACUGUGACUUUAGAUGCAUUUUUCUCAGUGUAAGUGUCUGAGCUCAUCUCCAGUUCUGGACUCGUGCCCCCACUCCCGGGUGCUGACAGCAAGCUCUGAAGAUAUGCUGAGAGAGCUCCCUGACUCUCCUGACUCAGGUCUGCCAGUUGAUGAAGACAGCACAGUUGUUACCAAAAACAAAACCUGGCAGAUGGUCCUAGGUCAGGAUUAGUGGUCAUUCUCUGGUCUUCUCCAGACUGGUGACACAGGGUGGUCUUAAAAGAGUCCUAGUCCAGCCUCUGGCUCCCCGAAUUUCCUCUGGUGCAUGGGGCAUCAGGAAAGGGCAGGGGAGAAGGAGGGGGAGCAGAAAAAUAACUGAGGCUGGGCAGAAGGGUCCCUUCCAUUUCCCAUCCAUUGCUUCAAACAAUGGGUGAUUACCGUGCACCUUGAGUGAAUGUCAAGGCAGGAAGGGUUCCAGGGCCACCCAGUGUGGCAGGAGCAGAGCUGGGAUCAGAAUUCUGGAUUCCUGACUCUCCGUUCAGCUGCUAUUCAGCUAUCACCAAGCUGCUGAGUUUGUCCUACUUUCUCCUGGGUCACAUUCUGCUGUUGUUGGGAAACAGGGAGUGAGUGAAGGGAACCUGGGAACCCUUCUCCCCUCACCUUUUAAGGAUGUUCUGGGGUGGAAUAAAGAGAGGUGGAGGGUGGGGUGCCUGGGCCCAGCCUCCCUGGCUCCUGGUCCUUCUUUCUUCAGCAGGGAGUUCUGGCAAGGCCUGGGCCUGGGGAGGGGGCCUGGGUGCAGUUUUCUCCUGCGGUGUGGUUGGCUCUUUUGUCUUCCAGGAUGGGCCUGUGGGGUCUGUGUGGGGAAGGAAGGAGCUGGGAGCCUGGGCUGCCUGUGUGUCGGCUGGAUGCUGCCAGCACCGGCAUGGACCAAGCAACUUCUCUGAGCCAGAUGCUGGGGACGCAGAGGUGAACCCAGAGACAUGAUCCCAUCUGCUCAGAUCUUCAUGUCAGAACACGCUUUAUUACAGUCUCGGCAAGGGGGUGGCUCCAUCUGGGCCGCAUCUCCAGGACUCCUGGCCUGGACUUCUCUUUGGACCUCGGGUGACCUUGGAUUCUGGCCACAGUGACUUAGCGGUCAGACUCCGGUGGUUUUCUAGCCCGCUGGGUGACUCCCUGAAGAUCUCAUCCUCUUCACACCUGUUGGGAUGGAGCCUCCCAUGGAUAGGAACUCUUCCUGGUUGAUGCUCAGCAGAUGACUGAUCUGGCUCUGGAGGACAGCUCCAGGGGUAUGAGGGAGGCCUGGCAGCCCACUACUCCCUCCUCACCUGCUCGGGCCCUGCCUGCUGGGCCCUAUUGUCUGGGUCUGGGGGCCCUUUCCUGCCCCAUGUGAACUUGAUUCCUCCUCGCGUUUCUGCCGGUGACCAGACAGAGCCUGGCCUGGGCCAAGUCCCCACUGACCACACUUUCCCCAAGGCUGGGUCUCAAAGGACCCUACAGGAUGGGGACAGGAACAAGGAUGGGAGUCGGGGAGGGGCUGUCAGGCAGAGGGCAGAUGCAGCUCCUCGGGUGCCGCUGGCUGGAGUCCUUUGUCUCCAUUUGCUCAGUGCGUAAUUGUCAUUUUGUGGGGGACUUCCUUGGUGGGGCUUUUCCAUGCUUUUCCUCUCCCUGAUGGUUACAAAGAGGAGACAGUCAGGAUCUGGGAGGAGCUGGAGCCUUCCCCCUGUGCUGUUGAACUCUGGGAGGGGCAGCCAGAGGGGCUGAGAGUGCACCAUCCUGAAAAGAGAGGGUCUUUAAGAGAUAAGAUUUAGGCUAGGGAAAUUCACUAGAAAGAGACAGGUGGCCCUGGGUUUUUUUUCCUGCCAUCCAAAGGGAACCAGUCUUACCCAAAGGCUUAAGGGGUCACCUUAGCCCAGUCUCAGGACACUCUUCUCCAAUCAGAUCGCUGCUUCUAGUUGCACUGCUCCUGGAUUCUGUUCUUGGGGAACAGAAGGUGGCAGGACAGGCCCCACAAUCUGCAAUUCCAGCUCCCUCCAGAGGAGACAGUCCCAGCGUUUGCAAGAGAGCAGCUUGUGGCCUCCCUUAGGCAAGUUUAAAAGCCAGAUGUCCUUUUUCCCAGAAUGCGGAGUGGUGUGUACUAUUCAUCAGCUUGGGCUGCCACAGCACCAUGCCAGACUGGAUGGCUUAAACAUCAGGAAUUUAUUUUCUGCCAGUUCUGGAGGCUGGAAAGUCCAGAUCAAGGUGUUAAGACUUGGUUUCUGGUGAGGCCUCUCUCCUUGGCUUGCAGGUGGCACCUUCUCACUAUGUCCUCACAUGGCCUUUUCUCUGUGGAGAGGGACAGAGAGCAUGAGCAGGCUCUGGUGUCUCCUCCUCUUCUUAUAAAGACACUAAUAUCACCAUAUUAGGGCUUAAACCUAUGACCUCAUUUAACCUUAACCCCUUAAAGGUCCCAUCUCCAAAAACAGUCACAUAGCAGGCUACUGCUUCAACAUAUGCAUUUGGGGGAGGGGACACCAUUCAGUUCUUAACAGGGUGGUCACCGCAAACAUGGAAAGUCAGAGCCUUCUCCCCUUCAGAAUUCCCGCCCCCACCCAGGGAUGGGGAGGAGGAGCAGAGAGGUAUGGGAAGCAGACACGGAGAGUGGCAGGUACCAUGCUGGGGUGGCUCAGGAGUGCUUCGGAGGACAUAUGGAACUGGCAGGGCUCAGUGCAGGGAGGCGGAGGCCCUGGGAGAGCCGUGUCCUGAGAAGGGCCUGGGCUACAACCCUGGGCAAGUUACUUCACCUCUGAGCCUCCGAUGCUCUGUGAAAUGGAAGGAAUGUGCUUGCCUGUCAGGUGCAGGGAGAAUUCAGUGAGAUUGUGUGCCUAGCACAGUGCCUGACUCCCAGUAGGUGCUCAGCAAAUGCUCCCAUCCAUCUGGGAGUAUAGACUUAGGGUUUAUCUAUUUUUUUUUUUUUUUGGCUCUCUGGACUUUAAAACUCAGCAUCUUCUGAACCAGAGGCAUUUCUGAUUAGCCCUUCCCUACCUAUUUUCCUAGUAUCACUCUUUAAUCAGCUUGGGGAGGUGGCAGCAUUUCAUGGCCUCCGUAGUAACUCACAAUGCUUCCUGGGGUAUUUAAAUUCUACUCUCUCAUCAGCACUGAGCACCUACUUUGGGCCCUUUCCCGUGCUAGCCAUUUGGGGGAAAUAUAGGUGAAGAGUGGCUGGGGUUUGAACCUUUAGGAUUUCACAGCCAUGCUGGAUGGGAUAAAACCAGCUCACAUGGAGAAUCAGAGAAUGGGACAGUGCCACAAAACAGUCUACUGAGGCACAAGUUCUGAGUGCCUGGGAAGUGGUAGAGAGACCCCAGAGAGGGCUGCUGCAGUCUGGAACAGCUUCCUAGCAAGCUGUACCAAACAGGGCCUUGAAGGAUGAGAAAGAUCUGGCUGAGAUGAUACCCGACCCUCUAGGGAAAUUCUUAAAGUAACUUCUAGGAAAUGUCAUUGCUCCUUAAAAAAAAAAAAAAAAAAAAAAAAGCAGGUUCUAAUUCAAAUUCCGCUGCACUACUGAAGUAGUGCAGGACUUAUCAGAACCUUUAAAAUGCUAAUGGCAAUUUCAAAUACUCAGGGACAGGGCAUAGGAUGAAGUGUUCCUUGACUUUUAUGGCCGUAGAAUCUUUUUCUCAUGGAACAUCGUUUAGAACUGUGGGAGAUGCUAGGCUGGGGUUUCUAUGGGAAAAGUACAGCAGUGAUAGAAGAUGGCAUAAUUAGGGUACACUUAGGUGCUUUGUAGCAUUGGCUGAAAAGGAAGCAGACCGGGUGGGCGUGGGGGAGUCUCAACUUGGUUCCAGGAGCCAGGCCAGCUUGAUGCGUUUUUUUUUUUUCUAAUGGUGGGAGGGCAGGCCAAUAGUUGGAGAAACUAGAGGCCUGACAGUCGGUGAUGGAAGAGAUGUCUACUAAGCACGGUUGUCAGAUCUUUUGCGGAGAGAUGCGGGUGUGCGUGUGUCUGUCAGAGUGUAACAGGAUCCAGCCCUCUGGGAAGGGGCUGACCAGAACCAGGCAGGGGGUUUCUGUCUAGGACAAGUAGGGUCCAUUUUCAGGGGAGCUGAAAUAUUUGCAGGGGGUGCUCUGAGACCCACAGCCAAUAAAUAGGGAAGCAACAUGCUUUUGGGCAGGGUCCAUGUGGUUAGGGUUGAUUUUGAUGGGGCUGGGGGGCUUAGAGUUAGACCCCCUGCCCUGGUCAGGCCCCACUCCCUGGCUGGUGGGGGCGGGAGGCCUCUGAAGCUGCAGCUGGAGGGGCCGGGGCAGUGUUGCAUGGUGUGAUUAACCUACUAACCCAGGGCUCAGCCGGGACGCUGUGGCGUGUGACGAGGUGCCUGGCCUUCUGCCAACCAACUAACCCACUAACCAGGCCCGAGCAUGCCCUACUAACCACCCCCCCGCAGCCAGAUCCUACUAACUGUGCAGCUCAUGGGCCUUUCAAGGGGCUGGGAUAUGGGGGCAGCCAAGGCUCCAGAAGGCUCUGCCUAUGGGCUGGGAUCUUUGUGCAGACCCACGUUCCAGGACAGAGAAUGCAAAUAAGACUCACCAACUCUGCCACUUCCUGUUGAGUGAGUUUGAGUAAGUCACCUCACUUCUCUCAACCUCAGUUUCCUCAGUGGUAGAAUGCGAGUUCUGAUACCUUACAGGUUGCAGUGAGGAUUCCCGUCAAUAUAAGGGUCUCAGCACAUGGCAGACACCUAAAAAAAAAAAAAGUAUGAGGAUGGAGGAAGGCCCCUCAAACCUGGUUGAACACGUCUGCUGCCUAGGCCCUGGCCUCUCUGGGUGUUCUGCACACAGAUCCUUCUGCCUGGGGCAAGACACUUGGCUUUGAAUCCAUGUCACUUCCCCACAUUCUUCCUCCGUCUCAGCUUUCUUUUCUGUAGGCAGCUCUUUUGUUCGAUUACUAACCCGUCUAACCCCUGGGGUGCCUCAACUGCACCCCGAUCAUCCCUUAACAAACUAACGGACCUGCGUGCGUUCUUCCUUUUCUCUUAGCGACUCCUGUGUGUGUCUGCUGAGGUGCCCUGUCCGCUGGUGCUGUGCUCUGACUUACUAACCCAGCCCCUACUAACCCUGUUUUCUCUUCUUACUAACCCCAGCCCUGCCGAGCUCUGGGCUCCCCCCGGGGGCUGGUCCCCCUCCUUUUGGCAAGCAGAUGACCUGGGGCUACUGGCCCUGUAGACAGAUGUCCCACUUUGCUGCCCCAUAUUGGCUGUAAGAUCAGAGUCCACUGGGCCAGGUCUAAGGCAGGGGAUGGCCCUAUUAACAAGACUCAGAGGAGGAAGAGGUGGUCCUGUGGAUGUGGGAGGCUGGACUCUGAGUAUGACAUCUCUCCUAUGUGCAGAAGUCUGGUUGCCACUGGGAGUAGGUGGGACCAGGGAAAUCUCUGGGACGUGAGUGUGGAGGCCUGUUGGUCUAGACUCUAGACUGUGGAGCUCUGAGCUUUUGUGUCCUCUGGAAGGAAGCUGGGGAAGAAUCCUCUCCAUUGUUAAGUGACGGGGAUAGAAGCUGUCCUGCACAGGAAGUCACGAGGGGGGCGUAUCCCACGAGGAAGGCAGGAGGGGGCGUGCCCCUCACCGGAAAUUAGCAGAGGGGCGUGUCCCACACCGGAAGUCAGAAAGCGGAGCCUUUCUUACACCGGAAGUCAAUGAAGCGGGUCUUUCCUACGCUAAAAACCACUGAGUGGAGUAUUUAGUACACAGGAAGUCGGCCAGAGAAACAUUUCUCAUAUUUGAAGGCCGGAAAGAGGGACAUUUCUGACACCGGAAGUCAGUGAGAGGACUCUUUCCCACACAGGAAGUCAGCUAGAGAGCCGUCUCCCCUCUCUGGAGCCGAGAGAGGCCGGUUUCCCCCACCAACACUGAAGAUUCUGCUCUCAGGGUGUUGAUUGACGUCUGGAAGGCAGAGACUCGUGGAUUAGCAAGCAUGUGUAAGAAAGUGCUCUGGAUGCCACAGGGUGGUAAUUUGUGCAUGGAAAAUGGCUGGGG